CGGCGGACUCCGCUCCCGCCAAUUUUGAAAGCUAGAUUCUCAGGCCCUAGCAGGCUGGGGAGGAGGGGAAACGAAGUCCUUUCUCCAAGUCCGGACCCCGUGGCGAGCUGCGGCGACAGCCGGGUGGAAUGGACUCUAAUACCCUGGGAAGGAAACUUGACCAGGUGAUAGUGUCGAGGAAGUGAGUGGCCGCGCAACAGGAAUGUCAAGAUCUGGGUGAAGGACCACACUUCGGGACCCAAAGGCGACGCCUAGGUCUCCGGCCAGGGCAAAACUGGAAGGUCCGGCGGCCUGGAAACCCCGGCAGGGUAGAGGAUCGAGCGGUCGGAGGUUGGGACGUCGCCUCUGACAGCCACCAGGACGCAGAGGUUUCCUGCAGAGUCCGCGCCUGCCUAAUUCUCCGGGGGCAGAAACGCUUUUCUGGCCCAGGACUCCCACGUGCGCCCAAAAACCGGGAGAGAGAGGGACGGCUUGGGACCGCAUCCCAGCCCUGGGCUCUCCGCCUCACAUCUCUCGGGAGCAAGGAAGAGAAAGGCGGGCCAGGCCUGGCGGGAAGGGACGCACCCGACGAGAGGCGGCUCCUCCCUAGGUGUCGGGUUAGUCUCUCGGACUCGCGAUUCCAGCUCGGCCCGGCGCCCUCCGGAGACCCGGGGGAGGUAAACACCUCUCGGGAGUCUCAGGACGUCGGCGGGCGUCACCCUGGGUCACCCUUUCUUCGAGGGUCACCAUGAAAAGCCCCCGAAGCGCGAGGUGCCUAUCGAGUGGAGAACAAAGGGCCGAGGGGCGAGCGCGAGGCGAGUCCGCGCGCGGUUGCCCUUGGCUGGGCCCAGCUCGGAGGCGGGGGGCACCGGCUGUGCGGACUCCGAGCCCGGAAGGGAGGAGGCGGCAGCGCUGGGAAGUCCGCGGCCCCCGCCUACCCCGGCGGACUGGAAGAGCCCCCAGUCUUCGAGCCAGAGCUGCCAUGUUGCAUUCGCGGAGGACACCAGUGAUUUGACGCUCCCGAGGCAGCGACACCCCCGACCCGAGAGCCCUUUGGGGGAGCCCUACGAGCGUCACAGCCCUAAGGGAUGGCGGGCCGCGGGAGGGAACCCGAUCCCGGCGGGCUGCGGAGCCGGCACGGCCGCGGCGCCGCCGCUUCCCCUCGCCACCUUCCUUCCAGGGGCUGCGGGGCUGCGCGCUCGGCAGAGGCUCGGUUGCCAGUAGCAACCACACGACGGCGAUUUGCAGCCAAGGCUGCAGCCGCCGGUACAGCCGCCGCCGCCUCGUACAUCUCGGUGUCUAGCAUUCAGAACCCUGGGGGUUGCCCUCGCUGACAAGUCUCGCCCCCGCCCCGGGGUCCUCAUCCUCCAGGACCCUCAGCUCCGCUCGAAAGCAAGCUCCCCCGGCUCGGCCCUGCCCCCACGGCAGACAAUAGACAAAUAGGCUCGGAGCACACUGCAGCGCGGUGCUGAGCCGGCACCUGAGCCCCCGGGAUCCUGGUGCUCGGCUUCGUCCCAGCCCCAGGUGCCCUUGUCUCCAACUUUAGCCGAAAUUCUUUGUCAGUGGCCAGUCCAUUAAGAAGCCUUUCUCGACAUCAGCAGUAAGGAUAGUGGUAAAGAAAGAAGUCAAGACAAGACGCCCACUCCCUUUUUAGUAACAUCGACACAAAGAGCUUAGGGUUGUUUGGUCUUGGUAGCGAUGGCUUCCCUCUGGGUUAGAGCCACAGUCAAACCGUACCGUCUUCCCUCUUCUUUGUCUACCACGAAUAUUUUGCAUGAAAUUCAUAAUAUAACUUUCCAACAUUACCUCCAGAUACUUGUCUUUUACAGAAGUGGAUGGAGCACUUUUUUUCUCCUUCCUUUCAUUUGAUGAACCACACCAGCCUUGGUAAUGAGGACUGAGUGGUCUGAUGCUUAAAGAAAAUAAUUGACACUAACCCUAAGGAAUCUUUCUGCCUUUUCUAAUAUCUGUGGCUCUGGGACAUUGAUUUAAUUUUUUAAAGAACUCUUGUUAGUGUUUUAAAGACGUUUUUAUUGAAGAAAAAUCUUCAGAGUAUCCAGCACAAUCU
ensembl:lncRNA